GAUAAUCAUAUAUAUUUGAUUAAUGUAAACGAAUUCUUUAUGAAUUUGACUCACGAUAAGAAGGAACGUGAGUCAAAGCAGACACAUCUUUGUCAUAAAUCAGUGAGAGGCUAAAUACAUAUAAAAUAGAAAGAUGAACUAGACGAAUGAGCGAGAAGUCUAAGUAAGUGAGAGAUCCUUGAAAUCGAUGAGUGAGCGAAGAAGACGAAUAAAUGAGUGAGCAAAUGAAAAAGUCUCAAGAUCAAACAAGUGCGAGUAAGAAGGCGAGUGAAAGGAAUCCCUACUACUUAAGAGAGAAUAAGAUGACGUUCAAGAAGAAAAGAGACAUUCGAUUGAGUUAGCAUAGCGAAAGAAAGAAGAGAAACAAGAUAUUCGAGCAAGAAACGAAAGAAAGAGCGAAAAAUAAGAGAGAAAAAGAGGAAUAUAAUAGGGGAGAAGGAAAAAAGAAACAGAAGAAGAAGGAGAUAUACAUGUAUAGGAAAGGAACGACCAGCUGUUUCCUCAUGUGACGUCACGCAGGCGCCUUGUGGCCGACUAGGGAAUGGAGAUGGACAGGUGGACAAUGCUUUUAACCCUCUAGUCGUACCUGGAUUCUGUUUCCAAUCUACUUGAAUAUUUUUUUCUUUUUUCAAUGCUUUUGUAUUCAUAAUAUCUAAAAAAAAGUCAAUUGUUUAAACUUUCACAAGCUCGAACAAAUUAUGAAAGAUUAAAAUUCAAACUACAAUUCAUUUAACCUCAUUUGCUUUUAAAAUGUCGAUCUCUUUAUGUUUUAACAAAAUACCAAUUUUGUUAAAACCAAUUGAUUACAUCGUGUUUUUUAUUUUCGUUUUAACGAUAUGUUACAUCAGAUGUUCUGUAAUAUAUCUAUAUAAUAUACUGUGUAAUAUAAGUAAAGAUACUACAAAAUAGCG